CCCCAGUCACCAAGAUGAGGCGCAGGGCACAGAGCAGAAGCCCUCAGGCCUGUUUGGAGAGCUCAGGCUGCCCCUCGCACUCCCAGAGGUGGUGUUUGGAAGGUGUGAAAGGGUCCGGGGGAUUGUAACGCGCAGAGAGAUCUGGGAACUGCCGAACUGGGGACUUCACAGACGGAGCAUGGCAGAUGUGUCGCCUGCAGGUCCUUGCCUUGCCCAAGGUUCCAAGUAUCCACUCUGUCCUGAAAGUGUCAGUGGAGACCGGGGAAAAAAGCGCUCUUCCUACCAGGCAGAGGCCGGACAAGGCUGCCUCCGGUACUUCCUGAUCACCAUGACAUGGAAGAGCACAGGCAAUAGCUGCUCGUCUCUGUGCACCGACACCACCAUGAUUUAGAGAAUUAAUCGGAGUGCAUCAGUGCCUCCCAGCAUGGGCUGCAUUAGGGAAUUACGGCCACAACCUUCAACCGUGCUGGUCCAGAAUGAAUCCUCAGAAGGCUGCCUCGAGGUCACAUGACAGAGUGGUCUGCAAGUGGAAAGUGUGAUUAUUACAGCAGGAGAUUCAUUACCAUUAAUUCCCAUCUAAUACUUCCCUUACUCCAAACACCUCUAGUUCAUCAUGCUCGCCAAUUGCUGAGGCAGUUCUACUACACCUCCUCUUUCAUGAGUGUGUUUGUGAAGGUGAUUAAAAAAAAGUGUGCUGCAUCUCACUGCCACAUGCCAUCCAGUGGAAAGGAAGACUUGUAAAACCAUCACAGCGUGCCCUCAUCCGCCUUAUUCACCAGAUCUGGCACCGUGACAUUUCUGGCUCUUUCCCAAAGUCAAAAUGACCAUGAAAUGUAAACGUUUUGCAUUGAUUCAGAUCACUGAGUCAGCCAUGACAGUGAAACUAGAGUCACACGGAAAGGAAAGGGGACUACAAAGCUGCUUCAGACAGUGAGAGAAGGAUGGCAGCAGUGUGUCUUUGAAGAGGAUUUGAGGGGAAUGA